GACGAACGCUGGCGGCGUGCUUAACACAUGCAAGUCGAACGAGAAGAGAUGAGAAGCUUGCUUCUUAUUGAUUCGAGUGGCAAACGGGUGAGUAACGCGUAAGCAACCUGCCCUUCAGAUGGGGACAACAGCUGGAAACGGCUGCUAAUACCGAAUGACAUAUAUUAAGGGCAUCCUUGAUAUAUCAAAGAUUUUAUCGCUGAAAGAUGGCCUCGCGUCCGAUUAGAUAGUUGGCGGGGUAACGGCCCUACCAAGUCGACGAUCGGUAGCCGGACUGAGAGGUUGACCGGCCACAUUGGGACUGAGAUACGGCCCAGACUCCUACGGGAGCAGCAGUGGGGAAUAUUGGGCAAUGGACGCAAGUCUGACCCAGCAACGCCGCGUGAAGGAAGAAGGCUUUCGGGUUGUAAACUUCUUUUAAGGGGGAACAGUAGAAGAGGGUACCCCUUGAAUAAGCCACGGCUAACUACGUGCCAGCAGCCGCG
rnacentral:rRNA from 1 species